ensembl:lncRNA
UGCCCUGGCUCCAGGGCUGGAUGUGCCCCGGCUCCAGGGAUGGAUGUGCCCCAUCUCCGGGGGCUGGAUGUGCCCCGGCUCCGGGGGAUGGAUGUGCCCCAGCUCUAGGGGCUAGACGGGCUCCAGGGCUGGAUGUGCCCAUCUCCGGGGGCUGGAUGUGCCUCAGCUCCGGGGGAUGGAUGUGUCCCGGCUCCGAGGGAUGAACGUGCCCCAGCUCCGGGGGAUGGAUGUGCCCCUGUGCCCCGGCUCUGGGGGAUGAACGUGCCCCGGCUCUGGGGGCUGGAUGUGCCCCAUCUCCGGGGGCUGGAUGUGCCCCGGCUCCGGGGUUGGAUGUACCCCGGGAUGUGCCCCGGCUCUGGGGGCUGGAUGUGUCCCGGCUCCGGGGGUUGGAUGUGCCCCGGCUCCAGGGCUGGAUGUGCCCCGGGAUGUGCCCCGGCUCCGGGGGCUGGAUGUGCCCCGGCUCCAGGGCUGGAUGUGCCCCGGUUCCAGGGCUGGAUGUGCCCCGGCUCUGGGGGCUGGACGGGCUCCGGGGGGAUGGAUGUGCCCCGGCUCCGGGGGCUGGAUGUGCCCCGGCUCCAGGGCUGGAUGUGCCCAUCUCCGGGGGCGGGAUGUGCCCCGGCUCCAGGGGAUGAACGUGCCCCGGCUCCGGGGGAUGAACGUGCCCCACCUCCAGGGCUGGAUGUGCCCCGGCUCCGAGGGUUGGAUGUGCUCCGGGGGCUGAACGUGCCCCAGCCCGCGGGGGGAGCAGCCGGGGCUGUGCCUGCGCCGCUGCAGCGGGCUCGGAUCCCCCGGGGCUUUCUCCAGCGCUCCCUCAGCCCGCACGGAGCCCAGCCCGCUCCCAGCCCGCUCCCAGCCCGCUCCCAGCCCGCUCCCAGCCCGCUCCCAGCGCAUCCCCGCAGCCCCGGCCGCAGCCCCGGCCCGCCCCGAGCCCAUGGCACCUGCACCCCAUGGAGCAGACCCCGAGGUGCCGCGAAUGGAUCCCAGAAUUCUCAUUUUCCUUCUCUACGUGAUGAUCCUGCACGAGCUGGUGAGCGGCUGGAUGCAGUACCAGAAGCAGAUGGCCAAGCCCAAGAAGCAGGCGGGGCCGGUGUGGUCCUCCAGCAGCACCCCCAGGGCAGCCCCCUCCGCCUUCUGCCGGCCGCUGGUGCACUCGGUGCGCAGGGAGCGGCACCGGGACUGGAGGAAGCCGGGCAGGAUCAUCCGCAAAGCCUGAGCAGGAGCUGCUGGGGGCGUGGGGAGGCUGCUGAGGCAGAGACAGCCCCCUCGGCUCUGCAGCACCCCCUCACCGAGAGCAUCCUCCAGGGAUCUGCGUCCUGCAUCCUCCCGGGCAUCCAUCCCUGCCUGCGGAGCAGCCACACGGAGCAGGGACAGCCCGAGCUGGGAUGAGGAUUUACCACCCAACACCAUGAAGUGACUUUUCUUUCUUCUUCCUGAUAUAAAUGAAAAUUUGUCCAGCCAAAUUAAUAUGAAAAAAUAAAAUAUUUAUUUGCAAUCAAAUUGUACCUAGCCAGCCACAAGGAAAGAACAGAGCCGAGCCCGGGGUCGGCCCUGGGUGUGCAACAAGGAGUCAGCCUCAGCAGAGGUUUUCCUCCAUGCCCACACACCUACAGCCUGGCACAAGUGUUUUUAUAGGGAAAAUUCCACCUGAGGCCAAGAUUUCAGCAAUCAGUCUUUUCUUCUAUUCAGAGUCUACAUGUUAAUAAGAUUUUCCUUUUUGGUGAUGAGGGAGAACAAUUCAGUGUCCGGAGUUUGUUGAAUCCUUUGAUGAAAUUUACGGGAACUCUGCAUUCCCAUGGAUCUGCCCGAGGAUUUCCAUGAUUUCCAUCCCGGGUUGAUCACACGAUGAUCAGCACCUGGGGUUUCUGUAUCUCCCCAGCCAUGGCCCAUCUCCUGGCGAGCCGUACCUUCUUACUUGUAAAUCAGUUUCCAAUCUACACCCGGUCUCUCCUGCGAGGGUGGGGGGGGAAUCCUAAUACAAACAUGUAUACUCCAACAAAUAUUCAAUAUCACACAUAUAUUAGAAAUGGCACAAAUUAUAUCUACUACACAUAACAUUCCCCGAGGGCUGAAUGGAUGGAGAGCAGAUUUCCCAGGGGAAAAUGGAAUUUGCAGGGAGUGCAGGAGUCUACCUGGGAAGACUCCCAAUGGUUUCAGGCUCCUCUUCUCCCACUCCAGGACUGCGUGGCAGGAGCAUUUCCCAAAGUGGCUGGAAAAGCUUCAGUGUCCAGUUUGCCACCACUCCCAGGAGGAGCUGCCUCCCCUGGGACACCCAGAAGUCACAGCACUUUGGGAGUGCUGGCUCCCUGCUAAGUCUCAUGCACAAUUAUUUUCUGCUUUUCCCCACCUUUGUUAAAUGAAUUGCUCCAGGGAAGAGGAGGGAAAACGUCCUGAACCGGUGACUCAGAGUUAUGUCACCAAAUGCAAUUUACUGCAAUGCCCUUGUAAUUAGCAUUUUUGGAGCCUUCCCAGCAGCUGAGGCAAAUAAAUGUUAAGAGCCACUUUCUAAUGAGCAGAUAGGUGGGGAAGGAACACAGUCAUGCUCUUUAAACUCUGCUGUUUAGGCAUAAAAUCAGAUUUUUGAGGCACAAGUCAGCUGUGCACCCUGCAGCCCAGAGAGCUGGAAUCGUGGAGCAUGGAAGGAUUCUGACACUGGGCUCCAACAGCAGCUGCCCAUGGCAAAACUGCUCCUUAUUUGCUGAACAUAAUGUUUGGCCCAAACACAGCCUGUUUUCCUCGUUGCCAACCAUUUGUGAGCCUGACUCAGGCUCAGACACAUUAUCCAGAAGCAGAUAGGAAGGGGAGUCGGAAUAGAUUAUGCAUUCAUUAUCCAGAAGUAGCCAUCAGAUACAUUUGCACAUUUGUCUGCUGCUCAGUUGUUUGCAAAUCGUUCCUGGUGGUUGAUGCUGUGUUUGUUCAGUCACCCAGGGCUGGAAGUUCCCAAUCCUCUCUCCCAGGCAGGCUGGAUCAGUGACUUGGAUGUAAAUCUCUACUUUCACCUACAGGAGAUGAAGUUUCUACCUUGAAGUUCAUGCCUUGUGUUGAGAUGGUUUUGAAAAAGGAGGCAGAAACAGCUGUGACAGUUUCUGCACAUUUCAGAGCAUAAAUUCUGUAAAAUUAUGAAAUUGCAUUUAAAAAAGAUUGUGAAAUUCAGCAUAAAACCUGAAAUUGUGCCUCAGCUCUGGGACACUGGGGCUGUUCCCUUGUCCUGAUCCAUGCAGGUACAAGUGGGAGCAGCAGAUGGAGAUGUCAGGAGGGACAAAACUCAGGAGGUGUUCCUGUGUGCUGGGGGAGUUUGCUGUCCAGGAGCUGAGUGUGUCUGGGGGAUGUUCUCCCCACUCUUCUGCCAGAGCCUGGGUGAGUUUGGGAGCUCUGGCUGUGGAAAAAGGGUUUGAAUUAAUUCCUGCAGUGGGGCAGGGUAGGGCUGGCCCCAGGACCACGCUGGGCUCCCGGCCCCAGCAGGACAGACAGCCUGGGCAGGGACAGAGAGAUGCACCUUUAAGGAAGGUGAAGGGCCAGGGCUGCCUUGCCCUGAUGAUCACAUGCUGGUUUUAUCCCUGUAAAUGUAAUAUUGUUUACUCCAAAUAAACUCUUUUACACACAUAGGACUCAGUCUGUCUCUGUUCUCAUUCAGCCCUUCUGUCUCUGC